rnacentral:rRNA from 1 species
GACGAACGCUGGCGGCGUGCUUAACACAUGCAAGUCGAACGAAGUGGCGAACGGGUGUGUAACGCGUAAUCAAUCUGCCCUUCAGAGGGGGAAAACAUUUGGAAACGACUGCUAAUACCGCAUACUGAAGGAGGGGAUUGCGUCUGAUUAGCGAGUUGGAGGGGUAACGGCCCACCAGGGCGAUGAUCAGUAGCCGGGUUGAGAGGAGGAGCGGCCAAAUUGGGACUGAGACACGGCCCAGACUCCUAGGGGAGGCAGCAGUGGGGAAGCUGCCGCAAUGGACGAAAGUCUGACGGAGCAACGCCGCGUGAGUGAGGACGGCCUUCGGGUUGUAAAGCUCUGUUAAUCGGGACGCGGUACCGGAAUAGAAAGCCACGGCUAACUACGUGCCAGCAGCCGCGGUAAUAC